CUACGGAGGAUCCGAGCGUUAUCCGGAUUUAUUGGGUUUAAAGGGAGCGUAGGUGGACAGUUAAGUCAGUUGUGAAAGUUUGCGGCUCAACCGUAAAAUUGCAGUUGAUACUGGCUGUCUUGAGUACAGUUGAGGUGGGCGGAAUUCGUGGUGUAGCGGUGAAAUGCUUAGAUAUCACGAAGAACUCCGAUUGCGAAGGCAGCUCACUGGACUGCAACUGACACUGAUGCUCGAAAGUGUGGGUAUCAAACAGGAUUAGAUACCCUGGUAGUCCACACAGUAAACGAUGAAUACUCGCUGUGUGCGAUAUACAGUAAGCGGCCAAGCGAAAGCAUUAAGUAUUCCACCUGGGGAGUACGCCGGCAACGGUGAAACUCAAAGGAAUUGACGGGG
rnacentral:rRNA from 1 species